GCUUUCAUUCCCAGAAGAGAAAUGAAACACCUGGCUCUUGGGAAGCUAGGCAGUAGCUCAUAUCAAAGCUUUAAUGUGUUAUGUAAGGAAUUUCUUCACAGAAAUCCGGAGGCCACAAAGGAGAAAGGAAAUGGUGGAAGCUAAAAAUGAACAAUGAUGGGCAUCCAGGUUUGAGGCCUGAUUGCACCUGCAAACUGACUCAAGUGAUAUGGAAGCAGCAGAGUCGUCAAAGACUGCCUUAGGGAACAUCACUGCAGAGAGUUUGCUGUGUCUAGUAUCACAAGAGCAUAAGGGGUCUAUGUCAUGUUCUUUUCCAAGAUUUGCCUAAGAUGUGUGACAAGGAACAGAUGCUGUUUUCUCAGAUCCAUCCACCCUCCACUGAGCCAGAGGCGUGAAAAUCACCUGUGACACUUUUGUUCUCCACUCCAACAGUGGCAGUACAGCAC